rnacentral:lncRNA from 1 species
ACUCCCUCUCACAAACUGGCUCGGAUGUAAAAAUGGUCCAGUCACUUAUUCUAAUUUGGGAAGUUUGCCUUUAUAAAAACUUGUGAUAGCUCUUAUUUUUAUAACAGAUCUUAUUUUAUUGCUUUAGUGAUUUCAUCAAAUCCAUAAUUGUUGCCGGAGGAGUAUGAAAGAAGUGGAAUGCAUGAGCCAACUGUACCUCCUGAAUCUGGGAAACCACUCCCUGGAGAUGUUCUGAAAACUCUAUCACUUGAUCUUGGAUUUGAAAAUAAAUUUGCAGAAUUGUGCAAUGAAGCAGAAGAGAUUUUAACUUUAUCUCAAAGUGAUGAGAAACCUGUGCAGUCAAUGGCGUCAUCUGCUGAUGAGGAAAAUUUUUCUGCACUUGCUCAUGUCAACCCUGACAACAUUAAUCUGCAAGCUUUACAUUGUUCCAGAGAGAAAUAUACUUAGAUCUCUGUCAACACAAGUGCUGCAAUGUGAAGAUAAAAUGGAUGGAACACCCUCAGAAGGAAAUGAUGUAUGGCAUAAAUCAUCGUCUCCCACUGAAGUAAAGUAAUUUGAAAUGAUAAAAUCAUUAGACUAUAUUGUAAAUAUUCAUCAUUUUGCAUGCUGUUUCAGUAUUAAAAUAAUUCUCUGAGGGAUUUUGUCAUUGUUGUUUGGCAAAUUUAAGUAGUAUUCAGUGAACAGAGGACCUCUAGUUUCUUAGUUCUCCUUACUUUCUCUGUCUCUCUCACAUAUAUUUAUUACUCAUAAUAUGUAUCUGUCUAUACAUUUAGUUAUAUGAUACCCGAUUAAUGUGUAUAUGGUUUGUGCUACUCUUAAAACUGAAUGUGUAGAAUUCGUAUGGAUGGUUGCAUCAAAGACUAUUUGUUUCUCUAACAAUGUGUACUUGUUAUAUGUUAAAUGAUAUCUGAUUCCAAUUUGUAUAUUUGGCUUGUUUUUCCUGUUAAACUGAACACGUAUGAUUAGCUCCAGGAAAUUAUGAAUGGCUUAUUGAGUAUUUCAACAAUUAAGAAAUGCAGAAGAUCACUUCCUUUCCUUUGAACUACAAACACUCUUGGUUGUAUUCACCAUAUUCUCCAUGUGCUAAGAAUUAAGGUUCUAGAAGUAGGAUUAUCAUUUUUUUUUUUCCUUAUCUACAUUCUUUGUAUUUUAUUGAUUGACGCUGUUGCUAUUUGCCAGACUGAAGAUAUGGAAGCUUUGGAGCUCCUAAAGUGGCUUGCUUCUUCUCAGGCUGCUGAAGUUAUAAAUUCAGAUGGUUGCCUGCAACAACCAUUGACAAGGUACUGGAGAAAGCUAACAUGGAUUAUGAGAGUGAAUCCCAAAAGGAGUGUCAGGAUAUCCUUGAUUCCGUUGAAGACUCUGUUGAUUUUGGGGCUACGAAGGAAAGAGCUUCUAAUAAUGUUUUUCCUUGCAAUCAUAUCUCCAAGCUUUCAGCUGAUGAAAAGAUCCCUCAAUUGGAUGGCUCUGGUGAUGAUCCUCGCAUAUCCCCUUCUGCUGGAUCAACUGAAGGUUCAUUUUAAGUGAACCUAAAUAGAUACCCCAACAAGCAUUGGUUGAUCCUAACAAAAGCACCACUAGUGAGGAGAAAACUAGAAAAUCUUUACAUUCUCUGUCAUUUAUCAUGUCAUGGCUGGAAAUGGUUUAGGCAUAUCUUCUAAUCCUUUAGGGAAACAUGUAGAUAAAGAUGCUUGUGGUGUAAAGGUUUUAAACAAAUUGACCGGGCGCUCGGUUCGGGACCCCGAUGAGGCGAAAGAGAUGCAAUAAAUUUGAACCCAGAUGAUUGUUUCCCUCCAUUCCCCUUGAUUUCAGAUCAUCAUUCGGCAAUCAUGAAGAGUUUGAUUUUGUGAAACUGGUGCUUGGAGAUCCACUGGUUUGGAAUUUUCAUGCACGACACAGUAUCCUUUUAAUUUCAGUUUACUAAAGUUAGAUAGAUUAUGUGUUACAAUUUAUUUAUUUUUAUUAUUUCUCAAAAAGAAAAAAAAAAAAAAGAAGACAGAAAAUAUUUUUUACCCUAAAUAAUUUUGUUUUAUUAUUGUUUCCUCAAUUUUAUCUUUUGUCAUUCCACACAUAACUGAACAUAUACGAAUUUCUAAAUCUAAACAUAACAAAACUUAAAAAAUAGUAACUUGCAACUAAAAAAAUAAAUAAAAAAUUAUCGAGUUAUUUUUAAAAAUUCACGAUUUUAAGUAAAAUAAUAAAAAAUUAAAUUUCAAGGUAAUUAGUUGUCACAAAAAAAAAUAAAAAUUUAAAAUACAAUAAAAUUGUGUAAUUUACUUUUUUAUCCUGAAAUAUAAUAAUCAUUAUUACAUUGUAUAUAUAUAUUUUUUUAAAGCAAGUAAAUUAUUUUGUUAUUUUGUUAUCAUUAUUUGGAUUUCAAUAGUGUUUUGUUUCCAAUAAAAAGGCCCGUAAUUGGGACCAGCCCAGUUAUCUUAAGUAAGGGUAUAACGGUAAUUACAGGAAGCUUGGAGAAAAAGUUUCAGACAUCUACAAGAAAGCGGAGUUUCUCUUCUGUCUAUCGUGCCUGUAAACGCCCUAAGAUCUAGGGCCCGGUGGGGACUCAGCCCAUGUUGUCUCCUUCGCGGAGACUCGGAGUUUGCGCAGUCGGGAUUUUCGGUCUACGGGCUUUUCUCUAACAGAAAAACCCUAAGGUCUGGCGCCAAGAAAAUCUGGUUAUACAAAGAUGUUCGUGUCCAACACCUUCUUUAGUUUUAAAAUAUUUCUUCCCUCUCUGAAUGUGCGCGCGUAUGUUUAGGCAGUUUCGUGAGUAUCGAGAGCAUCAUCAAUGGCGGAUUUUCAGCCGAAUUCGAACAUUUUCAGCGUUCGGAUUGUGUCUAUAGAUUUCGACAUGGUCCCUCCUAUUCCUGAUUUGGAUAUUUGCUACAGUAGUUUUCAAGGUGAGAACUGAGCUCAGGAACGACAUUUGAUAAGUGCCAAAGCGCUGUAGAGUUUCGUUUUUGUUAUUCCUCUACUCUUUCUUUUUCCGCUGAUUUUCUCGGGAACCAAACAGGAACUAGUCAUUUGUAUCUAUAUGUAGUUUUUUCUUUGGAGUAACAAUUGAACUAGUUGUUAUGUCGCUCUAAGUAUUUAGCUGCAGAGAUUGCGACAGAGCUUAAUCAGCAUCGUUUCAGCUUUGGUUAAUUUCAUACAAUAAUAUGCUUGGAAAUGCGGGCAUAGUAUUUUUGCCACAGACAAACAGAAAGAUUGUUUUUCGUUCUUUUAUAAAUAAAUAAGGGGUUUGUUUUGAUUACUAUACAAUUCAUCUGUUGAGUUUUGAAGGUGGGGGAGUGAAUGAGGUUCCAGUCAUCAGAGUCUAUGGUUCAACUCCUGCUGGGCAGAAGACUUGCCUGCACGUUCAUCGAGUAAGAUUACUGCUCUGAUUGUUUGGUUAAAACAUUCUUCACCUUAUAACUACUUAGGGGACUAUAUGACAUGGUAGAUGGUCACAAACUAUUGUUUGUUUCAACUAAUUGCUUACUGACUGAAAUUUUGUGAACCCCCGAAUUGAAUUGAAGGGAGACAGGAAUGAUUCAGGUCCUCACGAAUGAUUGCUUGCUGAAAUUUUACAGAGAUUGGAAUUAUUCAGUCCCUUCAGUUCCAAGCAUCCAUGUAUAAAAAAAAGUUUCUUUCUGCAUAUUUAGUGCAUGAACUGUUACGUUUAUCUUGUAUGGUUGCAAGAUUAGGAGGGAUCCACGUUUAAUCAGGCCAUGUAUGUGUUUUGAGUGCUGCAAGUUGCCUCUUUUUUUUUUUUUAGUCUAAGUUCUUGAUUUUUUAAUUUGUUACUCGACUUACCUAAGCUUAGACAAACUUUUCAUAUUGUCUGUUGCAGGCUUUGCCCUAUUUAUAUGUUCCAUGUUCAGAUAUUUCACUUAAUCCACACCAAGAAGGUACAGUAUCCUGAAUUUGGUGUUUUCUAUCUAACUAAUCUAAGUAACCCACAAAAAUGUAUAUGUUUUUUAUUUCUAUUGAAAAAUAUAAAAUGCUUUACAUUUACUUGUUUAUUAAUUUUUCGCUCAUGAAUUUGCAUAGGUGAUGCCUAUACACAUGCUAUAUCUCUUGCGUUGGAGAAAUCCUUGAAGGUAUGCUUGGUUGGAUCUGAUUGAAUUCCGUAUUCUAAAUUUUGGUUGUUUUGUUUAUCUUUUUCAGUCUGUGAGGCCGAUGCCACAGAUUUUUUAAUUAGUUCUGGUUUGGAGCUGCAGCUUAAAGGCAAUGUUGGAUCAAAACGGCAACAUGUACAUGGUUGCAGCCUUGUACGUGCAAAGAGGUUUUAUGGCUACCAUGGGUCAGAGGAGCUAUUUGUAAAGAUAUAUCUGUAUCCAUUUUUUUGAUUGUUUUAGUCUUCUGAUAAUAUUUUGAGAGCAUGUUGUUGAUCACCUUGACAAUGUCUUAGUUACUAUCCACAUGAUGUUGCUCGUGCUGCCAGUCUUCUUUUGGUAUAGUUUUCAGACUAUUAUUUCAUGUCCACUGCUCGUUUCUUUUGUUAUAUUAUAGCUUUUAUACACAUGGUACCUUUUGUUACUAUGAUCUUUCACAAUUUCGUUUCUAAAAAUAAUCAUAUUUAGUGAUUAGAUUUUUAUAUUUCAAGUUAAACCAUAGGAAUUGUUUUUUUCAUCAAGCAAGCAUGCUCAAUCUCAUAUGGAGGUUUCAUCACACAAGCACAUUAGGUCAUGGGUUUUUCUCUUGAUGAUUGGAAGGUUUGGUGUGAUAUCCAAACAUCUGACUUAAGUUACCGUUGGAACUAUAGAAUUUUCGUCUUUUGAAUUAUUAUGCACAUGUAAAUUCACACUUUCUACAUACGUAACAGAUUAUUGUUAGAUAUAUAAAUAGAGGCACAUGCAUAGACUCACAUAUGUAUAAUCAUAAAAGUUAUUUAAAAAAAAAUGUAUAACCAUAAAAGAGGCAUAACAUAACUGCAUGCUUGUAUUAGUUUGUGUAUGUUUUUUUAUUGUUUUCAGAGUUUUCUGGACAGUGCAUGCUUAUUAACCCUAUAGCUCUUUUUACUCUUUCUAGGGAGGUUCAGUUCUUGAUAAAAGUUUGCAGCCAUAUGAAUCACAUAUUCCCUUCAUCCUCCAAUUUCUGGUAAAGAUGUUGUAAUCUUUGAAUUAAUGAAAUGCAAUUUUUUAAAUAGUUAAACACGUAUGGUAUGUCAUAAUUAGUUCUUCUGAAAAUUUUAUUAUAACAAGUUACUAAACAGUCCCGCUAAAGCUUUUUUCCUUUUCUGUCAAGUUCCCUUGCUAGAUGUAGUGAAUACCGAUGCAAUGCACAGAAAAAAUACAAGAAUCAGAGAAAGGGAAAGAACAAAAAGAAUUUAACAUGAUUCAACAGCUUCCUUACAAGAAUGCUCCCAAGAUAAUAGAAUGCUGUAGGCUAUUAUCUCAAAAAAAAAAAAAAAAAGAAAAAAAAGAAUGCUGUGGGCUAAAAAAAUUGUAUAUGGGCCACAACUCAACAUUAUGCUUUCUAGCAAGUUAAAUUGAUUCAUUCAUCAACAGCUUAUGCUUUCUACUAUGUUAUACCCUUGAGAGUGUUAGAACCAAUUCUUAGGUAGAGGAUAGCUUUGGUGCUAUAUUUGUUAACUUUCAAAUUGAAAGGGUUUUGUGCCUCUCGAUUACUCCAUAAGAUCUAAAUGUAGACUCAAAACUAUAUAGGUGUUUAUUUUUGUACCUUGUAAAUGCUGCAGUACAGAUCUUAAUUUCACAAAUGCUUGCCUCUCUUACUGUUUGCUGACCAUGUUAUGUGCCAAUGGCCAUUAAAUGAGUUGUCUUCGUCAUGAAGAUGGCAGUAAGACAUCUGAUUGUUGCAGUUGAAGUAUCUCAAAACUGAUCUUAUGCUAUUAUUUAUGGUCUUUCUGCAUGGAGCUGCAACUUCGGCUAUUUCCUGAUAACAUAUGUUCAUUUUCCUUGCCAUACCUGGCCUGUCUGCUUCUCCAUCAAAUUUCAGUUUUCAUCUGUCUGUUACCAUGUCUGAAUCUCUUAUGUAGAUUGACUACAACUUGUAUGGAAUGGGUUACAUACAUCUAUCCCAUAUCAAGUUCCGCCAUCCAGUGCCAAAUGUUUUCUCCCCAAGGAAUACAGAUUACAAGAGUUUUCAGGUGCCUUUAUCUCAUUUUCCAUGAUAAAUGAUUUAGUACUUGUUCAAAGCAUAUCGUGGCUUACAAUUCUUUUACAAUUGUGGUUAAUUUUCAAAUUUUCAUUAGGCAGAUUCAAGGACUGGUGCAAGUUUUGACUUUCCAGUCUGGAUAUCUUCCACUAUUCCCAGUGAUUGGAUGUGGCAUCUUUCUAAUGAAUUUGAUGGUUUGAAAGGUUCACAACUUGACCAUGUCAAACGUCAGAGUGCUUGUGGACUUGAGGGUGAUGCUAAUGUUGAAGGUUUGCUUAGCUUCAAAGAUAUGUUUAUGAAGCUUCUUUUGCAUGAUGAUGUCAUACUAAACUUCCAUCAUCUGUAUUGUCACAGACAUUCUUAAUCAACAAUUUAAAAUGUAUAACUCCCUCUCACAAACCGGCUCGGAUGUAAAAAUGGUCCAGUCACUUAUUCCAAUUUGGGAGGUUUGCCUUUAUACAAAUUUGUGAUGGCUCUUAUUUUUAUAACAGAUCUUAUUUUUCUGCUUUAGUGAUUUCAUCAAAUUCAUAAUUUCUGCAGGAGGAGUAUGAAAGAAGUGGAAUGCAUGAGCCAACUGUACCUCCUGAAUCUGGGAAACCACUCCCUGGAGAUGUUCUGAAAACUCUAUCACUUGAUCUUGGAUUUGAAAAUAAAUUUGCAGAAUUGUGCAAUGAAGCAGAAGAGAUUUUAACUUUAUCUCAAAGUGAUGAGAAACCUGUGCAGUCAAUGGCAUCAUCUGCUGAUGAGGAAAAUUUUUCUGCACUUGCUCAUGUCAACCCUGACAACACUAAUCUGCAAGUUUUACAUUGUUCCAGAGAGAAAAAUAUACUUAGAUCUCUGUCAACACAAGGGCUGCAAUGUGAAG